rnacentral:rRNA from 1 species
ACGGGAGGCAGCAGUGAGGAAUAUUGGUCAAUGGACGGAAGUCUGAACCAGCCAUGCCGCGUGAAGGAAUAAGGCCCUAUGGGUCGUAAACUUCUUUUGUGGUGGAGCAAUAAGGUGCACGUGUGCAUCGAUGAGAGUACAUCACGAAUAAGCAUCGGCUAACUCCGUGCCAGCAGCCGCGGUAAUACGGAGGAUGCGAGCGUUAUCCGGAUUUAUUGGGUUUAAAGGGUGCGCAGGCGGCUUUUUAAGUCAGUGGUUAAAUCGUGACGCUCAACGUCAUCACGCCAUUGAUACUGGAGAGCUUGAUUGCGGUCGAGGUUUGCGGAAUUCGUUGUGUAGCGGUGAAAUGCAUAGAUAUGACGAAGAACACCGAUUGCGUAGGCAGCAGACCAGGCCGUAAAUGACGCUCAUGCACGAAAGUGCGGGGAUCGAACAGGAUUAGAUACCCUGGUA